UGGGGAAUAUUGGGCAAUGGGCGAAAGCCUGACCCAGCAACGCCGCGUGAAGGAAGAAGGUUUUCGGAUUGUAAACUUCUGUCCUCAGGGAAGAAGGAAGUGACGGUACCUGAGGAGGAAGCCCCGGCUAACUACGUGCCAGCAGCCGCGGUAAUACGUAGGGGGCGAGCGUUGUCCGGAAUGACUGGGCGUAAAGGGCGCGUAGACGGCUUUUUAAGUCUGGAGUGAAAGUCCUGCUUUCAAGGUGGGAAUUGCUUUGGAGACUGGAAGGCUUGAGUGCGGAAGAGGUAAGUGGAAUUCCCAGUGUAGCGGUGAAAUGCGUAGAGAUUGGGAAGAACACCAGUGGCGAAGGCGACUUACUGGGCCGUAACUGACGUUGAUGCGCGAAAGCGUGGGGAGCGAACAGG
rnacentral:rRNA from 1 species